GGCAGGAAGGCCCUAGAGGCCCAGAGGGAACCAGCCUGAUGAGGCCGUGAUUUCAGACUGUCGGCCCAGGAAGGGGCCCAAGCCGUGGCCCACCCCACCAUCCAGUCUUCUUGGACCCACCUUGGUCCCUCUGCCCGAUGGUGAUGUCCUAAGCAGCCAGGCACUGAGCUACUUCUGGAUUGUGUGAUGGGGCCAGCGGGAUGGCUCACUGUGCCCUUAAGGACGCUUCCUCAGACUCACGCACUCACACAGAGUCUGGCCUCUACUCUGCCUUCAUGGGUGCUUCAUGUAGGUCUUCCUGGCACCUCCCGGGAUGUGACUCUUCUCACCAUGGCCAUCAUGUCCCUCCUGGUCUCCUCCUAUGCCUUCUGUGAGCCCACCUGUGCUAUGCUGCUGGCCUUCCUGUGGGGCUGUGUGCAGUGAGCCCUGGGGCUCCUGCUCUCAGCCGGGGUUCCUGCUGGACGUCAUCUCCUGCCCCGUCAAUCAUUAAAGUUUUCACCUCCACUGCUACCGUCACCAUCGGCUUCGGGCAGAUCAGGGUGGUCUUGCUGUUGGCACCAGGGCACCUGCUGGUUGUAUCCUAAGACAUCUGUCACGUCUGGAAUCCACUGCAACUAUGAGGAGGAGAGUCCCUUCAGUGCCUGUGAAAUGGAAUCUUCAGGACUUUUUAGUUUUAAAACUGAGAAUCUGCAAGAUUCAUUUCUUCAUGAUUCCAAAAUGUUUAUUUCUUAAUAUUUUGGUUUUUCAACAACUGAUGCUUUUGAGAG
rnacentral:lncRNA from 1 species